rnacentral:ncRNA from 1 species
UAUUUUAUAAAAUGUUUAAAAAGUUUGAUUUUAGCUUUAUUAUUUAUGUUAUAUUUAUUUUGCAUGAAAAUUUUUGUAUGAAUUAUUAAUAAUUUAAAAAAUUAUUAAUUUUAUAUUUAAUUUCAGCAUUUAAUUUUAAUAAUUAAAGAAAUUUAGAAUUAUUAUUUAUUAGAAUAUUAGUAAAAAAUGUGCCAGCAACUGCGGUUAUACAUUUUAUAUAAAUAAAUAUUAUUUAUUAUGUAAGUUAUAUUAAUGUUUUUAUGAAAAUAAAUUAAAUUAGGUGAAAUUUAUUUAUUUUAGAUUUUAAAUUUAAAUUUAUAUAUAUUUAUGAAAUUUUAAAAAUAAACUAGGAUUAGAUACCCUAUUAUUUAAAGAUUAAAAUAAAUUAUAAAGGAGUAAUAGUUAUGUUCUUUAAACUUAAAAAAAUUGGCGGUAUUUAAAUUCAAUUAGGGGAACUUGUUUUUUAAUUGAUAAUCCUCAUGAUACCUUACUUUAAUUUUUGAUUUAUUUAUUGUCGUUAUUCAGAAUAUUUUUUAAGAAUUAUAAAUUUUCUUAAUUAUUUAAUUUAAGUAGUUAUUUCAGAUCAUUAUGUAGUUUAUAUUAAAGUUAAAAUGAGUUACAAUAAAUUUUAUUUAAAUGAAUAUUAUUAUGAAAAUUUUAAUUGAAAGUGGACUUAAUAGUAAAAUAAAAUAUUAAAUUUUUUUGAAAUUUAAAUUAAAUAUGUACAUAUUGCCCGUCACUCUCAUUUUAAAAUGAGAUAAGUCGUAACAAAGUAGAUAUACUGGAAAGUGUUUCUAGAAAGAUUUUAU